UUCUUAUCAAGAGAGGGGGAGGGACUGGCCCGAUGAACUCUCAGCAACCUGGCGGAAGUCAAGGUGCUAAAUCCAGACAGGCAAAGCGCCUGGAAGAUAAGAA
rnacentral:ncRNA from 2 species